rnacentral:lncRNA from 1 species
CGAGCAGAAGGGGCUUAAUAUGCAAUUGUCCCUCCCAGACCUAACACGCGGAUCUUAAUCAUGCGUGGGUCGGGUCAUCGGGCGAAGGCCACCAUACGACCUUGUAUUUGGACCACCAGAAAUCGGUCAAAACGGCGUCGUCCUUUCGUUCCCUUAUAAGGCUAACAUUGCCUUCCUUCAGCCGAACCCUAACCAUGCCCUAGCCUUCCCCUUUUCAGCAGCCACACUUCACAUUUUCUCUCAAAAACACCAACCCUCCGCAAGAUGCGGUGACCAGUGCUCCGAGCUUCAAAGUAUGGCCGAUUUUAGCCACAGAUCUCCCUUCUAACUCCGAUUAAGACAGAGCGAAAGGGGACCGACGGCCUAGCAACGAGGUAAGGUUCUCGUAUUCCCUUUUUCUUUUUAUUUAAAUACACAAAUAGGAAGAAAAUCGAAGGGAGUAGAUCAAAAAAACGUAAUAAUCUCAGAGGUUCAAAGCAGAAAGUCACCUUGCUCUGUUUUUUUUUUUUGUUUCCUAUUGCUUCUGUAUGCAUAAAUAUGCGAAAAAAAUUACAAUGGAUCCCUCCUUUGGCUUUAUAGCCGGAGAGAAAAGAAAAAAAUAAUCAAAAACUGAAAAAUACAAUAUUCCUCGUUUUUGUUUCUUUCUUGCUGUGUGUAUUCGUCCUUUCUUUGCAGGUACAGGGUGCGUGGCGCUCGGGUACGGGGCUGUGCUGGCUGCUGAGACGCUGGCAUCGUACGGAAGGUGGGCGUGGCGCGAUGUGGUUGCUGUUUGUGAAGGCUGCGGCGCGAGGACCCCUUUGCCCUAGGGUUUGCCGAAACUUAGCUUGACUUUCGGGCCGUUUGGGUCUGUUCCAGUUAUUGAGCCCUUGUAUUUGGACUAUGGGGCAUUGGGCUGUGGAAUAUUGUAAUAAUUUGGACUGUAAUAGGACAUUAAAUUUUAUUUGGGUUUUACACUUAUUGUUGUUUUUUUUGGUUUAUUUAUUUGGUAUUUAUUUGGGUCGGGCAAAUUUGGCCCACUACAUUCUUCACUAAAUUGUUAACAAAAAGUGUAAGUGUGUAACGCAUUCCUGCGAGUUUGUGCUAUUACUUUUUCUCCCAGACACCAUAAUCAUCUCGACACCCGACAAAAACACUGAAAAAAGUAUUACCAUUGGUUUUAAUGCCACGUCAAUAUUAUUUCAACAUAUUUUAACAAUUUUAGUUAUAUACCUAAAAAAAAGUAUCAAGUACCAUCGUAAAAAUUGUUUUAUUCCAUGUCUUAAUUUUUCUUACUUGUACCACAAGUUUUAACACAACUUCCC